rnacentral:lncRNA from 1 species
AUCAUUUAUAUGAAUUACAUGUUUCUAUUAUUUGUAUUAUAUACUAUUAUAUUGUGUUAGAUAUAUAUUGAGAUUAUCGAAUGCGCUUUAAAAGAUAUAACAUCUAAAACCAUCUUCACUGUGUUUGUUAUAACUGUUUUCAGGCCCUUACCCAUACUCAUAAGUCCGUAAGGUGUGCUGUUGGUUAAGUCCAACCAUAACAGGCAAACGUCAGUCCACACGACCCAGCAUCCGACAAACCCGA